CUGCGGGCGGCGCGCACGGCGCAGGACGCGGCUUCCCUCCCCUUCGGCCGCCCCGCCCCCGCCCCGCCCGCCGGAACACCGAGGGGGUCUUCCCCGCCGGCUGGGUCCGGCCUGUUGGGCCGCGCAGGACUGCUGCCCUCGACUCCAAGACCAACAGGCAGGGGCAUCUGGGGGUUAGGAUGGUCCAGGUCAGCCCGGUGGGACCCGGGAAAGUCCCACAAGCCCCCGCCUCGGUUUCCUGCUCUGCACGGGGACCCGCUCAUUGGACCUACCUUGGACGGUGCCGGCAAGGGCCAAAUGACAAGAACCAAGUGAUGGGAGGGGGCCUUCCUCCCUGCAGGCCCGUCCCCUCUCUGCCUGCUCCUCAGCUGGCCCAUGCUGGGACCCAAGCAGACGCUCACUCUGCCUUCCAUCGCUCCAGGACGGACCACAUCCUGGUCUCCUCAGCCUGAUGCCCCAGACUGCACAGAACAGGACACCCAGGGCCAAGCUUCGGCUUGACAGCGUCUGGAGGGCCCCGUGGGAGAAGGCCGGGGGUCUGCUCCGGGUCCUGCUUUGUGGGUGCUGUCUGAACACUCUACACCCAGGGGCACCUGAGCACAUCGGGGCAGCAGGGCGCAUCGGCAGGAUGGCAGGAGCCAGGCCUGCAUCCAUGAGCUGCGUGGGGCAUGCGGUCCUGCACAUCUCCAGCUCUGUGCUCUUUCCAGCCUCUGGGCGGCAGCCAUGUCUGCUACUGUGUGGACUCUCCAGGCUCCAGGUUCAGACGUGGUCCUCGUGCUGACCGCAGCCCUGAAUAACAGAGUCCCCCAAUCUGUGUGGUGGGCCCGCUGGUGCAUGCCUGCUCUCUGCGACGAGCCAGGAUUCUCGGCUUCUUGGGAUGCUGGACAGGGGAAGCAGGGACAGCUUGUCCUCCAGCAGACUGCCACCUUGCAGACACCCAGAGUGGCUCCAGAGAGACCAGACUCUGUGCUGAAAUUAGCUCCGCUAACUGGGCUGCUGGUGCUCCCUGUGGCCUAGAAACAGCCGGGCUUCCGACUCAUGGGUGGAUGGGCACUGUGGGCUGGGCCUCUGCUCUGCAGGAGUAAAGAAAUGGUGUGUGUUGCCGUGC